rnacentral:rRNA from 1 species
UGAAUACGAGACGCUAAGGCGUCGAAGUAGUGUAUGUCAUACUUCCAAGAAAAGCUUGCACUGUCAUAGAUAAAAAACGCCUGUACCAUAACCGACACAGGUGGGUAGGUAGAGUAUACUAAGGGGCGCGAGAUAACUCUCUCUAAGGAACUCGGCAAAAUAACUCCGUAACUUCGGGAGAAGGAGUGCCUUAUUCUUAAGGUUGCAAUAACAAGAUCCAAGCAACUGUUUAUCAAAAACACAGGUCUCCGCUAAGUCGUAAGACGAUGUAUGGGGGCUGACGCCUGCCCAGUGCCAGAAGGUUAAAGAAGCUGGUUAGCAUUUGCGAAGCUAGUAACUGAAGCCCUGGUGAACGGCGGCCGUAACAAUAACGGUCCUAAGGUAGCGAAAUUCCUUGUCGGGUAAGUUCCGACCCGCACGAAAGGCGUAAUGAUUUGGAUACUGUCUCGGAGAGGGGCUCGGUGAAAUAGACUUGUCUGUGAAGAUGCGGACUACCUGCACCAGGACAGAAAGACCCUAUGAAGCUUUACUGUAACUUGAAAUUGAAAUUGGACUUUAUUCGCGCAGUAUAGGUGGGAGGCGUUGAUUAUAAUCUUGCGGGAUUAUUGGAGCCAUUAGUGAGAUACCACUCUUGUAAUGUUAGAUUUCUAACUUUGAAUCAUUAUCUGGUCAAAGAACAGUUUCAGGCGGGCAGUUUGACUGGGGCGGUCGCCUCCCAAACGGUAACGGAGGCGUACAAAGGUUUCCUCUGAACGGUUAGAAAUCGUAUCUAGAGUGUAAAGGCAUAAGGAAGCUUGACUGUGAGACCUACAAGUCGAGCAGGGACGAAAGUCGGUCUUAAUGAUCUGACGGUACUGAGUGGAAAGGCCGUCACUCAACGGAUAAAAGUUACUCUAGGAUAACAGGCUGAUCUCCCCCAAGAGUUCACAUCGACGGGGAGGUUUGGCACCUCGAUGUCGGCUCAUCGCAUCCUGGGGCGGUAGUACGUCCCAAGGGUUGGGCUGUUCGCCCAUGAAAGCGGUACGCGAGCUGGGUUCAGAACGUCGUGAGACAGUUCGGUCCAUAUCCGGUGUAGGCGUUAGAAUAUUGAGAGGAGCCUUCUUUAGUACGAGAGGACCGAGAAGGACAUACCUCUGGUGUACCAGUUAUCGUGCCAACGGUAGACGCUGGGUAGCUAUGUAUGGAGUGGAUAACCGCUGAAAGCAUCUAAGUGGGAAGCCCACCUCAAGAUAAG